rnacentral:lncRNA from 1 species
CUCUCUCUCUUUUUUUUUUUUUUUUUUGUACCAGGGAUUGAACUCAGGACCUUGCAGUUUCAAGGCAGGCUGCGGGACCACUCAGUUAAAUCCCCGGCAACCACUUCUCUUGAUCUGCAGACAUGGCCUCAUCCUUGGUGGCCCAUUGGAACUGCCAAGAGAGUUGAGAGACAGGGACCUGACUCAUCACAGGCCUGUGGGCUGUCCAUCUCUUCCUGGGGACAAUGAUUAGAGACAUCUGGAAGCACUGACAACCAGAGGGACCCUGGCCAGCCAAGGCCACCAACUUGGCUGCAGACCUUCCUGAGACUGACAAAAGCCCCAAUCAGAG